GUCCCUAAUAACACUGGGACUGUAGGUGGGCUCAACCCUCCCUCCUGAGUCAGGAGAAAAAUCCCUUUCCAUGUCCGCAGCUCCAGAUCUUACAUCCUUGCCCAAAUCUUUGGCUAAUAAACAAGCUUAUUAGUCCACUGGGUUCACCCCAAAUGUCUUGAAACAGUGUAGUUUCCUUAGUGGGUAAGCGUCUUUUAUUCCUGAGAAAACUUCAAAUUAAGUAUAGAGAUGCUGAACCCAUUGUCCUAAUAUUUCUGUGUGGUGUUUCGGAAUUAUCUUUGACUAUGUGAUAUUUAAAGUAUUUGAUAUAUUUUAGAGAAUUUGGCAUUUUAGAGAAUGGAAUUAACUUGUGAUUUGAAUGACAAAUGUAAAGUUGAGUGAUUUUAGACUUGUAAUUUUAAGUUAAAAGGUAUGGGAAUCUUUGGUUGAAUAUAUAAAUAACAGUGAAGUGGUUAAGAUAACUUAUAAUCCACAAUAUUUGUAAGUUUGUUACAUUUAUAAGAGUUACUGAAGUAUGUAGGUAGGUUUUUCAGUGAGAUGAGAAAAAUUUAUAUGUGGAACUUAAACAUACUCAAUUUAUAAUACAUUACAAAUUAAUGUAGUAUUUUAUUAUGUUACAGAUUAAUGUAUUAAAUUUAUAAAUUCAAUUUUAAAUGCUUAAGUAAAUUUAAUUAAGUUUGCCAAUGAGAUUAGAUAAUCAAAAGCUUAGACGUGGUUAUAAAUUGUGCUGUAAUGAGUAGAUAUUUCUAGAGUAUAGUAGGGUAAUAAGAUUUUUAAGUUGAACUUAUAAACUUAAGAUUUUGCAGUUUGUAUCUUUAAUUCAUUCUGAGUUACAGGAGUAAUAACCUGGGAGGGGAGUGGGAAGAGCUUCAUGUUCCCUUUUUGAGGAGGUGAAAUGAGUCUGACCUCCCUUUCUGCACCUGCUCCUGUGCCCCAGGGCUGUCUCCUGAUGCUCUCAGAGCCCUCCUCCUGCGCCAAGAGCUCUCCGCUCAUCCUGUGGGAUUCUACUCAGGCACUGUCUUUUUCCCACAGUGACAUGCCUCUUCUCUUUCCCGCUCACACCUCUGAUGCCCUCAAGACCCUUGAUCUCAGUGCGAAGUAAGGAGCUGAGUGUACUUCAUGUAUGGAUUUGUUGCAUACUUCAGUGAUUAGAAUGAACUCCCUCAAGAAGAGGAUCUGUAGCCUUCAUGACGGACUGCCUCGUAAAGUGCCAAGGACUCCAGAGAAAGGACACCAAAAUAGCUAUAAAGGGAAGGCGUCCCCAGGGCAGCGUUUCUGAGGCUCCUUACCCAGAACAAGGAGGCUGCCGAAGCGAGUGUGGGGCUGUUGGGCUUCUGUGUGAAGCGAGCUGGAGAGAUGGAAGAUGAGACCUUGUGACUGAUGCACACACUCAGCCUCACUGACCCGGUCGGAGAAUAAAAGAUCCCUGAGCAAGUGGAACAUGGACAUUGCAGGGAACAGCAAACACACCAUCAAAGUCUGAGCCCCGUGGAAGCGAUGUCUGAGU